CCUACGGGUGGCAGCAGUGAGGAAUAUUGGUCAAUGGCCGGAAGGCUGAACCAGCCAUGCCGCGUGAAGGUCAGUGCCCUAUGGGCGUUAAACUUCUUUUGUGCGGGAGCAAUAAUGGUCACGUGUGGCCAGACGAGAGUACCGUACGAAUAAGCAUCGGCUAACUCCGUGCCAGCAGCCGCGGUAAUACGGGGGAUGCAAGCGUUUUCCGGAUUUAUUGGGGUUAAAGGGUGCGUAGGCUGUGAGGUAAGGCAUCGGUGAAAUGCCCCCGCUCAACGGGGUGAAGUGCCAUUGAUACUGCCUUGCUGGAAUGCGGAGGCCGUGGGAGGAAUGUGUGGUGUAGCGGUGAAAUGCAUAGAUAUCACACAGAACACCGAUUGCGAAGGCAUCUCACGAAUCCGCGAUUGACGCUGAUGCACGAAAGCGUGGGUAUCAAACAGGAUUAGAUACCCCAGUAGUC
rnacentral:rRNA from 1 species